UACGUAGGGGGCGAGCGUUGUCCGGAAUCAUUGGGCGUAAAGCGCGUGUAGGCGGCCCGGUAAGUCCGCUGUGAAAGUCCAGGGCUCAACCCUGGGAUGCCGGUGGAUACUGUCGGGCUCGAGUCCGGAAGAGGCGAGUGGAAUUCCUGGUGUAGCGGUGAAAUGCGUAGAUAUCGGAAGGAACAUCAGUGGCGAAAGCGGCUUCCUGGUCCAGCACCGACGUCAGGCACGAAAG
rnacentral:rRNA from 1 species